AGUGAACGCUGGCGGUAGGCCUAACACAUGCAAGUCGAACGGCAACACAGUAAGAGCUUGCUCUUACGGGUGGCGAGUGGCGGACGGGUGAGGAAUACAUCGGAAUCUACUUUUUCGUGGGGGAUAACGUAGGGAAACUUACGCUAAUACCGCAUACGACCUACGGGUGAAAGCAGGGGAUCUUCGGACCUUGCGCGAUUGAAUGAGCCGAUGUCGGAUUAGCUAGUUGGCGGGGUAAAGGCCCACCAAGGCGACGAUCCGUAGCUGGUCUGAGAGGAUGAUCAGCCACACUGGAACUGAGACACGGUCCAGACUCCUACGGGAGGCAGCAGUGGGGAAUAUUGGACAAUGGGCGCAAGCCUGAUCCAGCCAUACCGCGUGGGUGAAGAAGGCCUUCGGGUUGUAAAGCCCUUUUGUUGGGAAAGAAAAGCAGCAGGUUAAUACCCAGCUGUUCUGACGGUACCCAAAGAAUAAGCACCGGCUAACUUCGUG
rnacentral:rRNA from 1 species